GAACACAUUAUUUACGGCCGCGGUAUUUGACCGUGCAAAGGUAGCGAAAUCACUUGUCUCCUAAAUAGAGACCGGUAUGAAUGGCAAGACGAGGGCUUAACUGUCUCCCCUUUUAGGUCAACGAAAUUGAUCUCCCCGUGCAGAAGCGGGGAUAAUAACAUUAGACGAGAAGACCCUAUGGAGCUUUAGACACUAAAGCAGCUCACGUAAUGACCCUGUACCAAGGAAUCAAACAAUUGUAAUCUGCCCUUACUGUCUUCGGUUGGGGCGACCGUGGGGAACAUCUACCCCCCGCGAGGAAUGGAGCCACAAUCCUCCCGAACCAAGAGCGCCAGCUCUAAGAACCAGAAUUUCUGACCACCCUGAUCCGGCAUAAGCCGAUUAGCGAACCAAGUUACCCUAGGGAUAACAGCGCAAUCCCCUUCUAGAGCCCUUAUCGACAAGUGGGUUUACGACCUCGAUGUUGGAUCAGGACAUCCUGAUGGUGCAGCCGCUAUCAAGGGUACGUUUGUUCAACGAUUAAAGUCCUACGUGAUCUGAGU
rnacentral:rRNA from 1 species